AUUGAACGCUGGCGGCAGGCCUAACACAUGCAAGUCGAACGGUAACAGGGAUCAGCUUGCUGAUUCGCUGACGAGUGGCGGACGGGUGAGUAAUGUCUGGGAAACUGCCUGAUGGAGGGGGAUAACUACUGGAAACGGUAGCUAAUACCGCAUAACGUCGCAAGACCAAAGAGGGGGACCUUCGGUCCUCUUGCCAUCGGAUGUGCCCAGAUGGGAUUAGCUAGUAGGUGGGGUAACGGCUCACCUAGGCGACGAUCCCUAGCUGGUCUGAGAGGAUGACCAGCCACACUGGAACUGAGACACGGUCCAGACUCCUACGGGAGGCAGCAGUGGGGAAUAUUGCACAAUGGGCGCAAGCCUGAUGCAGCCAGGCCGCGUGUAUGAAGAAGGCCUUCGGGUUGUAAAGUACUUUCAGCGGGGAGGAAGGGAGUAAAGUUAAUACCUUUGCUCAUUGACGUUACCCGCAGAAGAAGCACCGGCUAACUCCGU
rnacentral:rRNA from 1 species